rnacentral:lncRNA from 1 species
AAUUCAUUUUGAGUUUAUUUUUGUACAUAGUAUAAGGAAGUGGGAUAGUAUCAUUCUUUUGCAUGUAGUUGUCCAGUUUUACCAAUAUUCUUUAUUGAAGAGGAUAUUUUCACCCCAUUGUAUAUUCUUGACUCCUUUGGCAUAGAUUAAUUGAUCACAUAAGCAUGGAUUACUUUCUGGUCUCUCUAUACUGUUCCAUUGAUCUGUGUGUCUGGUUAUUAUUCUUAAUGAAUACAGAUGUAAAGUCAUCAGCAGAAUAUUAGUAAACCAAAUUCAGCAAUAUAUUACAGGGGUCAUACACCAUGAUCAAAGGGGAUUUAUUCCUUUGAUACAAGGAUGAUUCUAGAUUUGGAAAACAGUCAACAUGAUACACCACAUUAAUGAAAAAAGGAUAAAAUCAUAUGAGUAUCUCAAUAGAAAAAAAUGCAUUUGACAAUUCAAGAUCCAUUUAUGAUAAAAGCUCUCAACAAAGUGAGUGUAGAGGGAAUAUAACUCAAUGUAAUAAAAUACACAUAUGACAAACUCAGCUUUUUUCAGGAUGGAGAACACAUUUUGAGUGUGUUGCCAGCUGGGUGAGCCCACUGCCAGAAUAUAGCGCACCCAGAGCACUGAGCAGUUAAGUACCUCUAUAACCCAGUUGUAUAUGAGAGGCAUAGGUGGAAAUAAGACAAGGGUUGAUUUCCUGUUGAAAGCAACAUUGGGCCUGAUAUCCCUUCACUUAAUGGCAUACAGCGUGCAAGUAGGAAGCUAGAAGCCUCUUGUUUUGUGACAUUUGUAAGUUUGCCCCUACUCGGUGAUCAUCUGAUCCUGCUAUGUGCUCCAUAACCAAUGUAGUGAAUAGAGUGCCAUUUCCUACCAAAUCAGAAUAUUCCAGCAUGGAGAACACAUUUUGAGUGUGUUGCAAGCUGGUCAAUCCCACAGCUUAGAAUCUAGCACACACAGAGCGUUUGGCAGCUGAACAACUCUCUAACCCCAGUUGUACCAGAGAGGCCUAGGUGGAAAAAAAGGCAAGUGUUGCUUUCCUGUGGAAAGCACCAUUGGGCUGGUAUUGUUCACUUACUGGCAUACACCUUGCAAACAGGAAGCAAGAAGCCUCUUAUUUUAUGACAUUUGAAAGACUGAUUCCAUGAGGUGAUCAGCCCAGCUCACUAUGCACUGCAUUACCAGUGUAGUAAAGAGAGCAGCUUUUCCAACCAAAUCAGUAUUUCCCAGCUAGCAGAUGUUUUGUGUGUGUUGCCAACUAGUUGAGACCAAUGCCAGUAUCUAGUGCACACAGAGCUUUUGGCAGCUGAGUGCCUCUAUAACCCCAGUUGUAUGUGAGAGGCCUAGGUGGAAAAAAGUCAAAGGUUGCUUUCCUGUUGAAACUACCAUUGGGCCUGGUAAUCUUUCUGUGAGUGGCAUACACUUUGCAAGUAGGAAGCUAGAAGCUUCUUGUUUUGUGACAUUUGUAAUAUUGAUCUCAGGCGGCAAUCAUUCGAGCUUGAUAGGCACUAUAUUACCACUGUAGUGAAGAAAGCACCUUCUCCUACCAAAUCAGCAUUUUCCAGCAUGGAGAACACGUUUUGAGCGUGUGGUAAUCUAGUUGAGCCCACUGCCAGAAUCUAGCACACACACAGCAUUUGGUACCUGAGUGCUUCUAUAGCAUCAGUCAUACAUGAAAGACAUGGGUGGAAAAAGGGCAAGAGUUGCUUUCUGUUGGAAACCACCACUGGGCCUGCUAAUCUUUCAUUGUCAUACACUUUGCAAGUAGGAAGAUAGAAGCUUCUUUUUUGGUGACAUAUGUGAAAUUGGUCUCAUGCCGACCAGCUGACCUAGCUAUGAGAGCAUUUCCACUGUAGUGAAGAGAGCGCCUCUUACCAAAUCACCAUUUUCCAUAAUAGAGAACAUGUUUUCAGUGCUUCGCAAGCUAAUUGAGCCCACUGCCAGAAUCUAGCACACAUAGAUCAUUUGGCAGCUGAGCUCUUCUAUAAACAGAGUUGUACAUGAGAGGCCUAGGUGGAAAAUAGGCAAUGUUUGCUUUCUUGUGGAAAUCACAAUUAAGCCUGGUGCUCUUUCAGUGACAGGCAUACACUUUUCAAGUAUGAAGCUAAAACCUCUUGUUUUGUGACAUUUUAAAAACUGCUCCUACAUGGUAAUCAGCUGAGCUCACUAUGAGCUGCAUUUCCACUGUAGUGAACGGAACACCUUUUCCUACCAAAUCAGCAGUUCCAGUAUGGAGAACACACUUUGAGUGGGUUGCAAGCUGGUGGAGUCCACUGCUAGAAUCUAGCCCACACUGAGCAUCUGGCAGCUGAGUGCAUCUAUAACCAAAAUUGUACAUGAGAGGCCUAGGUGGGAAAAGACAAGGGUGGCUUUCCUGUGAAAAUCACCAUUGGGCCUGGCAAUCUUUCAGUGACUGCCAAAUUCUUUGCAAGUAGGAACUUGGAAGCUUCUUGUUUUGUGACAUUUGAAAGAUUGUACACAUGAGGUGAGUAGCCAAGCUCAGUAUAUGCUGUAUUGCCAAUGUAGGGAAGAGAGUGCCAUUUCCUACCAAAUCAGCAUUUUCCAGCAUGGAGAAGAUGUUUUGAGUGUUUUGCAAGCUGGUUGAGCCCAUUGUCAGACUCUAGCACACACAGAUCAUUUGGCAGAUGAGUGCUGUUGUAACCCCAAUUGUACAUGAGAGGCCUGGGUGGAAAAAAGGCAAGGUUUGCAUUCUUGAGGAAACCACCAUUUGGCCCUGGUGCUCUUUCAGUGACAGGCAUACAAUUUGCAUAUAGGAAGUUAGAAGCCUCUUGAUUUGUGACAUAUGUAAGGCUGCUCCCUUGUGGUGAUCAGCCAAGCUUUCUAUGCCCUGCAUUUCCAUUCUAAUGAAGAGAGCGCCUUUUCCUACCAAAUCAGAAUUUUCCAUAGUAGAGAACACGUUUAGAGUAUGUUGCAAGAUAGUUGAGCCUCCACCAGAAUCUAGAGCACACAGAGCAUUUGAAAGCUGAGUGCUUCUAUAGCCCUAGUUGUGAGAGGCCAAGGUGGAAAAAUUCAAGGGUUGCUUUCUUGUGGAAACCAGUAUUGGGCCUGGUGAUCUUUAAGUGACAGGAACAUACUUGCAAGUAGGAAGCUAGAAACCUCUUGUUUUAUUAUAUGUAAAUCACUCCCACUGCAUGAUCACCAGAGCUUGAUACACACUGCUUUUCCACUGUAUUGAAGAGAGUGCCUUUUCCUACCAAAUAGGCAUUUUCCAGCAUGCCCAAGAUGUUUUGAUUGUGUUGCCAGCUAGAGGAUCCCACUGCCAGAAUCCGGCACACACUGAGCAUUUGGCAGCUGACUGCCUCUCUGACCACAUUUGUAUGUGAGAUUCCUUGGAGGAAAAAAGGCAAGGGGUGCUUUCCACUGGAAACCACCAUUGGGCCUGGUGAUCUUUCAAUGAGUGGCACUCACUUUUCAAGUAGGAAGCUGGAAGACUCCUGUUUUGAGACAUUUGUAAGAUUGUUCCCACAUGGUGAUCAGCCAAGCUCGAUAGGCCCUUAUAUACACUUUAGUGUAGAGAGCACCUCUUCCUACCAAAUCAGCAUUUUUCCAUAAUGGAGAACACGUUUUGAGUGAGUUGCAAUCUGGUUUAGCCCACUGCCAGAAUCUAGUUGCAUAUUUGGCAGCUGAGAGCCUCUCUAAUAAGAGUUGUACAUGAGAGGCCUAGGUAGAAAAAAGGCAAGGGUUGCUUUCUCGUGGAAACCAUCAUUGGGUCUGGUGUGCUUUCACUGACUGGUAUACAACUUGUAAGAAGGAAGCUGGAAGCCUCUUAUUUUGUGACAUUUGUAAGAUCGAUCCCAUGCAGCGAUCAGCCAAGUUUGCUAUGCACUACAUUACCCCUCUAGUGAAGAGAGCACUGUUUCCUAGCAAAUCAGCAUUUUCCAGCAUGUGGAACAUGUUUUGAGUGUUGCGAUCUCAUUGAGGCCACUGCCAUAAGCUAGCCGAAACAGAACUUUUGGCACAUGAGUGCCUCUAUAAACACUCCUGUAUGUGAGAAUCCUAGGUGGAAAAGGCAAGGGUUGCUUUCCUGGGGAAACCACCUUUGGGCCUGAUGAUCUUUCAGUGGCAGGAAUACAAGUAGGAAGCUAGAAGCUUCUUAUUUUAUGAUACUUGUAAGAUUUCCUCCUGCAGCAAUCAGCCUAGAUGACUAUGUGCCCCAUUUCCAGAGUAGAGAAGAGAGCCUUUUUCUACCAAAACAACAUUUUCCAGAAUGGAGAACAAUUUUCAAGUGUUGCAAGAUGCUUGAGCCCACAGCUUGAAUCUAGCACAUACAGAGCUUUUGGCAGCUGAGCUCCUCUAUAAUCCAGGUUGUUCGUGAGAAGCCUAGGUGGAAAAAGGGCAAGGGUUGCUUUUCUGUGGAAACCACCAUGAGGCAUGACGUUCUUUGACUGUCUGGCACACACUUUGCAAGUAUUAAGCUGGAAGCCUCUUGUUUUGUGUUAUUUGUAAGAUUGCUCCCACACUAUCUGCCAUGUUUGCUAAACACUACAUUUCCACUGUAGUGAAGACAAAGCCUUUUCCUACCAUAUCAGCAUUUUCUAGCAUAGAAGACAUGUUUAGAGUGUAUUGCAAGCUAGUUCACCCACUGCCAUAAUCUAGCGCACACAGCAUUUGGCAGCUGAGUACCUCAAUAACUACAGUUGUAAUUGAGAGACCUAGUGGUUUUAGUGUGCUCAGUGGCCAAAUGCUUUGUGUGCCAGAUUCUGGCAGUGGGUUCUACCAGGUUGCAAUACACUCAAAACUUGUUCUCCAUGCUGGAAAAUGCUGAUUUGGUAACAAUAGGCACUCUCUUCACCAGAGUGGAAAUGCAGC